AGCGUGGGAGGAGGCCAACUCUCGGGGCGCUCCCUAGCCCUGGGUGGGUGGAGCGGGGGAAGCGGAGUACGUUGGACCCGGCUCCGCCCUACCCCACGGGGCCGCCUGGAGAGGUGCUGGGAGCUGGGUGGAGCUUAGAGGAAUUAAACUUUGGCCCUGCGCCUCGUCCAGCCUAGGUUCCACCCUUUUCUGGGAACGCUCCGGUAGAUUGCAAAUGACCUGCUUUCUUUCUGUUCCCGGGCGUUUGGACCCCUGUCUUGGACCGCUGUCGGAUAGUAAAUCCCAAGUAAGGUACCUGCCGUCGGCAGAUUUGAGCUUUCUUCUUGGACACCUAAUACCCAGAGUCCUCCAGGCUCCGGUAGAUUGCAAAUGACCUGCUUUCUUUCUGUUCCCGGGUGGCAUCGACCCGUCGGAGAGUAAAUCCCAAGUAAGGUACCUGCCGUUGGCAGAUUUGAGCUUUCUUCUUGGACACCUAAUACCCACAGUCCUCCAGUAAAUCCCAAGCAAGGUACCUGCCGUCAGCAGAUUUGAGCUUUCUUCUUGGACACCUAAUACCCACAGUCCUCCAGGCUCCGGUAGAUUGCAAAUGACCUGCUUUCUUUCUGUUCCCGGGCUGCGUUCGGACCCCUGUCGGAUAGUAACUCCCAAGUAAGGUACCUGCCGUCGGCAGAUUGGAGCUUUCUUCUUGGAGACCUAAUACCCACAGUCCUCCAGGCUCCGGUAGAUUGCAAAUGACCUGCUUUCUUUCUGUUCCCGGGCUGCGUUCGGACCCCUGUCGGAGAGUAAAUCCGAAAAAAACAAACAAAGACAUGGAUUUACUGUGCAUAUUAGCAGAUCCAUACUGGAAAAUGCAUGGAGGUUUCAUAUACACCACUUACAGAUGCAGAAAGGCAGUGAACUCCUCCGGAGUAGCUGUCAGGUCACCAUUGAGGUCUGCAGCUUUGAAUCUUCUCUCAUCACGUGGCAGCAUCUUUUUAAAGGUGUGAUGAUCUGAAGAAUCAUGAAACUCUGCGGGGUUUCCUAGGUUUUCAGCUCCUCAGUAGUGACAAAGCCAUACCCAUCAUUGUCGAUUCGAUCAACAAUCUUCCCUAGCCUCUCCUUGCUCUCGUCCGGGGUGAGCUCGUCGAAGUUCUUGGAGUCCUCCUUGCCCAGGAAGGCCUCGUGGUCGUACUGGAAGCUCUGGUUGUCCUCAGGGGGCCGCUCGCCCAGCUCCGAGUCGGGCCGCACCACGCGCUCUUUGCGCACCGUGGGCUUGGCCCGCAGAACCCGCGGCGCCAGCACCAGCGCCAGCAGCAGCCCCAGGGCUAACCCCAGGCGGCCACCGCGCGCCAUCGUCCCGAGGAGAGGGCGGCCGGGAGGGAGACGCUGAGCGAGCGACAACAGCGGCAGCUCGGGAAUGGGGGCUCGGAGCGCGGCGGCCAAGUUUUAUGUUAUGUAUAUUUUACAAGUAAAAAAAUUUUUUCACCUCAGCCUGAACUGAACACUAGCUGACAGACGUUUUGAUUUCUUUGACCAUCACGGAAUCGUGGCCAAGCGCGGUGGCUCACAUCUGUAAUCCCAACACUUUGGGAGGUCAAGAUGGGCGGAUUGCUUGAAUCCAGGUGUUUGAGAUCAGCCUGGGCAACAUGACAAAACCCUGUUUCUAGUAAAAAUACAAAAAUUAACCAGGCUCAAGCCAUGACCAUGCACCAUUGCACUCC
rnacentral:lncRNA from 1 species